rnacentral:rRNA from 1 species
UACGUAGGGUGCAAGCGUUGUCCGGAAUUAUUGGGCGUAAAGAGUUCGUAGGCGGUUUGUCGCGUCCGUUGUGAAAGCUUGGGGCUCAACCCCAAGUCUGCAGUGGGUACGGGCAGACUAGAGUGCGGUAGGGGAGACUGGAAUUCCUGGUGUAGCGGUGAAAUGCGCAGAUAUCAGGAGGAACACCGGUGGCGAAGGCGGUUCUCUGGGCCUUACCUGACGCUGAGGAGCGAAAGCGUGGGGAGCGAACAGG